rnacentral:lncRNA from 1 species
AGAGCACUCGUUUUCAACCAGAGCCCAGAAACAGCCGUUGUCCCCUGGCAAAAGAGGCCCAGUGCUGAGCCCUGGGCAAGUGUCUCCAGACAUCCCUACCUUUCUCUCCCUUUAUUAAGUCUUCUUUCCCAACAGAACCCAUUUCCUUUGCCACUAAAACUAGGUUGCAUCCAAAAGUUUCUCACAAGCUUAAAAAAGAAAAAUUGACACCAUUAUGCAGAAGAAUUCACAAAAGCUGCAGAGCGCCAGGGCAGAGAAGCAGCGUCAGACACAGGCCCAGGACACACAGGACGGAUGUUUCCAAGUCACUCCAGGGACAGCAUGAGGCUCUCGCUGGCCUGUGUCUCAGAAGCUGCUUUCUCCACCUCUUCCUUGUGAAUUUCCUAAACUCUCUACCUCUGGUUCAUGUUCGCUCUUCUGGAUAGUCUGUGUGCAAUGAGCCCUUAAAGGAAUAUUGCAAUGAGCUAUAAGAGUUGUGAGCCUGCGGUAGGCAAGGCCUGCACUGGGACAGCAAAGGAAAUUUCAUUGCAUCUGCUCCUAAGUCACAGGUUAUCCAGAGCCCACUUUACCCCAAGAGACAGCCUCUCCCCCAUCCCUAGGAAACAGUAGAGCUUAGGAAAAUGAAUGACUCCACCACAUUCAAGAGGCUUCAAAUUGUAUACUUGGCAUUUCUGAUUUCAGUUCUGAAAUUCUGUCCCUUAGUCGUGGGGAAAAUAAGAAAUGGAGUUACACCUUGUCAUUUAAAAAACCAUUGAAUUAAGAGAAAUGGAAAAUCAUGCCCACAUAAAACAUGUAUGGAAGUGUUCAUGUUUUGAUCAUGGCGGGGGAUAUAGCUCAGUCAUGGAGUGCUUGCAUAGCAAUGUGCAUAAUCCGAGGUUCAAGCCCCAGCACCGAAAAAGAGAAGCGGGAGGAGUGGAGGCAUUCACAGCAGCGUUUUCAGUAUAGGCGCAAAGGGGAAGGAGUUUAAACACCUACUGAGGAAUGGAUAAGCGGAGUGCCUUGUCUAUACUCGGGAUGCUAGUCAUCAGUAGAAAAGUUUGAAAUGAUAGAUACGAUGGAUGAUCCCUUAAACAUCUCCCUAAGUAACGAGGUCAGCCUAGGAAGGCGUAUGUUCCAUAUUUCUGGGAUAUAUGGGCUCACCGAUGCAGAAAAAAGUACAGCCUGGUAUCCUGGAUUGGAGACACGGACUGGACUUUGGAAGACAACAGAAUGGAACAGAAUUUACUUGAGUGGCGAUGUUCUUGAAUGAACGGAAGUCAUGCUUGCCCACUUGAUGACUGCAUUUACAAACCACUGAAUUUUACUUUUAGUGGGUGAAUUGCAUGGUACCUUCAUUUUAAUCUCAAUAAAGCUGCGAGUAUUUUUAAGAGAUUUCUAA